GUCCAUUGCGUUGCGAGAAGCAGACAGCUCUCGAACAAAGGAUUGUACCUACGUUAAGUGUCAAACUUCAACGUCAGGCUGACGUUGCAUUAGCGACGACCGUGAAGUGUACUGCUUGCCAACUCAGCAUAGUUUUGUAUAACAGUUUCAUCCAUUGAAAAGUUAUAGGCUAUAAUUCUGUGAUAUUCAUUAGGUGCCCGUGCCCCCCAACAUGUGGCUGAAAAAAGCAGUCAAGGUUCUAAAGGUUUGAAACAGCCCAGGACUCCUUGGAUUGGAAGGCAUAAAGAGCAGAUGGUUCUAAAACAUAUUAUAUCAUGUCCAAUGUACUGACCGUCUAAAGCACCAGAUAUAGAAACAUGAAGAAGGGUAACCUAACCCUUACUGCAAGUGAAGUUGGUGCUAGUUGUUUGCGAGCUCCUUUUGUUACUCGUGUGAUGUCAAGUAAUGCGGAUUAAUAGCUGGACCCUGGAAAAUCGUCACUCAUACUUGAGAUUUAAAAAAAAAAUCACCUAUUACCGACAGAGUCACCUACAAUGACAGCCCAAUUUAGCACAACAGCAGGGUAAACCAUUGAUGCAGGGGACUUUGACACCAGAAGAUGCUGGCUCUUGCCAACCCGCCAGAAGGCAGUAACAAACCUGAACAACAAUUACAUUCGUUGUUGGGACCUUAAUGUUUGACGUAACUGCUACAUCUUCCACGGUGGAGGUUGCUACCACUGCCGUCACUCCGACUUUAUGGAUAUUGUUACGGCUUUUACUGUCGUUGUUUCGAAACUCGCUGUUACUACUAUUGCUGGCACUGAAAAUCAGAUCGCUUGGAUUAUUGAACCUCCUGGCGCGUCGUUGUCCUCCACAAUUAUCAGAAGUGGAAUGCCGGUUAGCAGUCUAAAUAACAAUGCAGCAAUUGACUUUCCUGAGCUUGGAGAAUAAAAAUCGACGUGCAAUGAAGGCCUUCUCGAUGAGCAAGAGGUUUCUGACUGGAAUGGUGGAGUUCCAGUGGUGAAACCAGACAAGGAAACAAGAUUGCUUUGAGAGAAUGCUUUAAUUAUUAUAAUGUUAAUUUAAUAAGCUUAAUUUUCUAGAAAUGGUAUGUUGUUGUGCAUUGUAAGUGAGUGAAGUAAAAAGCACAAAGGAAAUUUUUCUGGGAUUAAAGGAGAAGGCUAUAGACAGAAAAGUAGACUCACAUAAUGAAAAAUAUAUUGAAGAAAGAACCCUAUUGUUUAGAUUAGUUGGGAUAGGUAAUCGUGACACUCGGGAGCCAGAUUGAGCUUGUUAUUGUUAUACUUUCUUUCACUGAGUUCUCUUAAACGCAGUAAUUAGACACUGUGUAAU